GGUUGACAUGGUUUUAACACAAGCAUCAUGUCCCACCCCUAUUUAUGGGAGAAAUGGAAGUUUCCAGGGAAGAGGGUGGUCAUUGGUUCCCAGGUUGGACAGACAAACCCAAGAGGCCUCUGCUGCAGUGGGCGCUGUAACUAGAACCAGCCCCAUGUUGACAACUCUUAUACUGGGAGUUCCUAGGGGACAAUCAGGUUUAUUAAUUAUGAAAUCACUGUUGAUUACUUAGAAAGCUGCCUCAGUAGAGUGGCGGGAGCAAAAAUUAGAUUGCAAGUGGUUGAGGGUAAGUUCGCGUGAGGAAGUGGAGGCGAGAUGUAGAGACUGCUUAGAACAGACAUUUAUUUUUCACUUAUCCAGUGUAGCUGUUCUUCUGGGAGAAGCUUCCCCCUUAUUCUUCCUGCUUCACCAACAUGGCAGGAUGGAGAUGCCAUGUUCUUCAUGGUCCUGCCCCCUGGCACUAGCCGAUUGGUCCAGGUGAGAAGCCAAGCCCAGCUAGCUCAGCUGGAACCCUUCCCCAGGACAUUGAACUUUGCACCAGAGAGUAUGUUGCCUCUUGGGCAACAAAGGCCACACAAGGUCAGACUUGCAAGGCUUCGUGGGCUGUAUUUCUUAUCACAUGGACAAGAUGGAUCUUCAGUGACGGAGAACAGAGCUGACCACAGAGAAAAGCAGGCAUGAGAGAUGGAGGAAACUGGGGUAUCAGAUGUACCAUAGACUCUUGGCAUCCUGAGGCCACAUUGUAGCUCUGCCUUUGUGUGGCAACCGUGGAGAUGCACUUGGAUUUCCCUUCCAAACCAACACCGUUCCGCAGAAUUACCUCCCAAUAUGUCUCUUACCCCUCUAUCUACCUGCCUCCAGAAGGGCCCAUCUGACACACCUUCCCGUGAAUUCAAUGAGCCAAUACAUUCCCCUUUUCAUCUUGGCUAGUUGAGUUGGGCUUCUGAACUUGCAACCAAAAGAAUCCUGAUAUGCUAGUCUUCGCUUACACAAAUAGUAUUAAAAACAUCAAGUAGGCUCCCCAGCCCCCUGCCCAGAAAGCCUUCCACUCCUGGUAUCCCCUAUUCCUCUCCCACCACCAGAGGACCCAGCUGGCCUAGUUUCCUAUUGAAUGAGAUGCUGUACUGGACCCUGGCUUGUACCCACAUGCUGAAGGAGCCUGGAGCCCAGAGUCCUACCUCAUCAGCAGCAGCAGCAGCAAGAGCGGUGGUUCAGAGGGUCCAUUCUUGUGAUGUUCAGUGGAAAAUAAAAUCAUAGAUUCAUGAUAAAAACCAGCCUCUCCCCGCUCCGUGCCCCUUGGCCAUUGAUUCUCAGAAGAUGGAGGCUUGACCCUUCCUGUGUCUUCAGAUGAAAAAGCAAUGGAGGGGCCUAAGUGGCCCAAAGCUCAGUAGGAGCUCAGUCAGACAUAGGCCUCCAAGGGUGUGGCAGAGUCUGACCCUUGCAGAUUUCCAUCUGGGGUCAAGGUUAUUAACAUUCCACCUUGCCCAACACGCAGGUGCUGUCCAUCCACAGAGAGGCCUUAUUCGAAGCAUCAUUGCAUUCCCUACUGCGAAAGGAAAAGAAAGUGGCAGUGGUAGGCCCUAUAAGUUCAUCCUCAUCAGCUGGCCCUCCAGAACCAUCCUCCAAACCAAACCAGCAAUGAUGCCACAAGGGUAGAAGUGAUAACUGAGACCCUGAAGCCAAUGCCUGCGGCUAAGGAUGCGACUCUUCCUGGACCACCUGGAGCCAAUCUAGGCAAACGUGGGAGAGCUGUGUGGGGUGAGGCAGCCUUCCCUCUUGACUUGGAAGGAUGAGCUCUGAUGGACUGGGCCCCAGCAGGAUUGAGCAAGAAAUGGAAGACAAGGAGAGCCUUCCCUGGAGUGGGGCCCCUUAAGGAUGAGGAGACCCCUGGCAGGACUGUGUCCAGGAGGACUCUGCACUCCUACAUGGAUAUGAUUCAAUUUGCCUUCAGUAUGGAGAGGAGCCACGUGACUGUCAGACUUCUAGACAUGGACUGAGAAACACUUCCCCUACCUCAGCACAUUGCCAAAUCAGGCUGGAAGAAGUCCACCCGCCAAGACCUUUUCCCCAUGACCUGCUUUUAGAGAAAUGCCUGCCAGUGUGGCAAGGUCUUCUUUUGGACCAUCUGCUUCAAUGCCAAUGGCUACUUCGUGUUGCGCCAGGUGUUUAAAUAGCAGAAAUGACCCUUUUCAGAACUUUUCAGCAACCUGGACGCCCUGUGGCAGGUACUGCACGUCAGCUCCUACCUGGGCCCACUUAGUGCCCGUGAAGAGGCCCUGGUGUGGCAGCCCUCAGUGAAGGCCCGACUUCUCCCGGCAGCUUUACUCAUGAGCUCAGAGUUUGUCUAUCACGAGCCCCAGAGUGACGCUAGCUGAUGGAGGGACGGCCCCUCUCUCUGCUUCAGGGCUGGUAGAGAGCAGAGACCCCUGCUCAGGGAAAUCUAGCCUGGGGAUCCAACACCACAUGUAUGGAGGCCCAUCCCAUUGGAAUGCCCACCUCGGAAAGGUGGAUCUCCCCCAUUCCCAGCUUUCAAAGGAGAACCCGCCCACCCCUGGGAGGAGAUAUUCCACCUUCUCAUUCCAAGGACCAAGCUCUUCCACACUGGGCUUAAGUCCCCAGCCCAGGAGUCCCUGAAAUGCUGGUGAUUUAGCAGAGAGAGACUGGGAGAUAAGUCAGGGCCAGUGGAAGCAGAGCCUGCUUCCUCCCCGCCUGAAGAGGCCCAGCUGCAGUUCUUGGGGGACCAGCACCUCCAGACAAGUCCUCAGAGCCCGCUUCAAGCUUGGCUUCUCCCAACGGGAGGAAGGGCCCUUUAAGACAUCAAUUAAGGACGAGUCCAAGAAGCUGCUAUCUCCAUCCCAAGCCAAGCCACCUCCCCUGGGAUCCGGACUCCUGGGGCUUGUACCGCAACCCUGGAUUUCAGCGCACUGUGAACGCCAGAGGGCCUCUGAGUUCCUGCCCGACUCCCUGGGCUGAAGGAUCUCAGCACCACCACACCGAAGAGAUCUCCUCUUUGACUCAGCCCACGAGCUCCUCAACUGGAGCCCUUGACCUUGCUUCUAACCCCUUCGGCCAAGGCUGGGACUAGGGUGAGGGAAGCGAGGUGCCAGGGCACAAAAUCUAAGGAGGCCCUUGCUCUCAAGGCCCUGCAGGUGACAUGUCGCAGCCCCGCCUUCAGCAGCUGUUCCCGUCAUACCUGGAAAUCCCAAAACCAGGCUCCCCUGAGCCACAGGUUUCCGGCCCCGAAGCCAGGCCGUCCCUAACAGAAGGUCAGGUUCGGGACACGAUAAGAGAGUUUCAUCAAGAUCCUGGGCACAGGUGCUUACCUGGCCGGAGGAGGACCCUGGUUCAGCAGCUGGUGCCCGCCCUCUCCUGAGCUGCAGUAGAGGCCUGGCCUCCCCCGCUGUGCACACUGCUUAUGACUUGGAGCACUUGUGUGCCAGGGCGGUCCUAGGACCCUCUGUGAGAACAGCAGCCAGGAGACGGGUCUGCUCCUCUUAGUGUCACCUUUCCUGACUCUGCCAAGACAGACAGUCAUGCCUGAGCCACCCCUGGCCCUCGGCAUGCAGUAAGACCUUGUCCCUGACUGUGGGCUCCCCAAGAGGUUCUGGUUCCUCUGCCCUCCCUGCCAAGAACUAAAGGACAGAAGCAGCGAAACAGAGCAAAAAGAGCAAGAACUCAGUCUCUCACCUGCUCUGCUUCCGGCUGGUGGCCCUUGAGAACAGGGCGAGUUCUCCAAUGCAUCCUUCAACGGAAAUGGAUUUUCUUGGAUCAUUAUCAAGGGACUGCCACAGGGUGAUAGGUGAUGGGGUUGGUUUGCUUCUGCACUGUGCUUUUAGAUUCUGGAAGAGGGGAGCGCCUGCAGUGCAUGAUUUCUUCCAGUCCCGAGGGCCUGUUCAAAGUGUCCGACUGUAGGCACCCAGGCAGGGAUCUGCUGGCCAGCAUCCCUCUUACUGUUCCCCCGUCCUCCCCACGUUUCCACAUCAGCCCACCUACAAGAAGAAAUCCUGGUAAUAGGUCUCUCGUGGAUGGGGUCGAGAGUUGAAUCCAGGUGGGAGUGGGAGGUAGACCCUUCUGAAGCCAAAGUGGGCGUUCUCCGGUGUGCCUGAUCAGACGUGUCAUCGUGCCAAGGAGAUCAGCAGUGACAGAGAACUUGGCUGGAGGCUUGAGGAGGCUGAGAGAACCCCAGACCUGACCCUUACCUUUGCAAAGAACCACCCAGGGUCCCAGCUGACCUCAAGCCUGGAGCCAGCCCAGGAAUGCUACUGUGACUCUCUACCCAGUAAAUCCAGGGUGUCGAUGCUGAACAACAACGGGGUGCAAAAGGCCUUACAAGGACAAGUUAGAGGCGGGGACGAACGUUUUUAGUGCCUGGACUCCCGACCUGCAUUUAUUCCUUCACAAAGUUGCCAACUCGAAUACUGCAAGCACCAACCCCGCCAACUUGAAUACUGCAAGCACGUCUGAGACUGUAAGGAGGGCAAAGGCCUGAUGGGAAAGAGUCCAGCAGGCCAGAUAAGAGCGCGCCCUCGGGGGAGACCGCCUGACCCCAAAGCCGUGCUCCUGCUUACCCGGCUGAGCGGUCGACUUACCGUCCCGAGCUUCCAUUUCCUUCCCUGCCAAAUGAGGACAAAAGAACCCUUCACUGGAUUGGUGCUAGGAUGAAAUGAAACCGUGCAUAAUAAUGAAAUAAUAUAGCGUGGGG
rnacentral:lncRNA from 1 species